GUAAGUUCAUGCCAGUAAUCACAGGUGAUGUUGAUUGGGAAACUGUUUUUGAUUGUGUGCUUGGACGACAUGUGUGGCUCUAUGAAGUAAAGACACAGGUGGAGAAAAUGACACUGCUCUGGACCUUUCAAAGAAGUGCAACAGGAGUUCCGGCAAAUUACAGAACAUUCGUUUUUUGAUCAGCAAAUCUUCAGAAGGGGACUUCUUCAAAGAAAUAACUUCCCACUUCACUUCUUAAGCUGAACAAAAACUCUUCUUAAAUGAAUGGCUUUUGCUCACAGCUUGUGGCCGCAGCUGGCAGUAUUGUUGCCCACUCCCGUCCUCUGGCCACAGAACAGACACACGGAGGAUGAAGGGCGGCAGAGGCGGUUGACUCAACAGGCACGUAAACUCUUUGACUGUGGGGUGAAGUGCUGUUACUACCUUCAGCUCUGAGAUGGAUUCUCCUUUACGUUGCCAGCUCUUGAGAUACAGCAUGAAGGCCGGCUCCUCACAGAAAACCGACCUCACGUUUUCUUGCUGAAGAGAGGGAAGUUGGUCCCAAAGUAGCCGCUGUAUUGAUACCCUCCACCUUAAAGAAGGGCGCUUCAUUGAGCUGCGAGUGUGACUAUAAACGGAGUUCACUCCACCACGGAGUGGGAGGAGGUUGUUUAGGGACCGGAUUGGAAUUGGGCCCUCAUUGAUCCCUCUCAUCCACUUGGUCGAAGUGUGUAAGACCCCAAAAAAAUCCACAGGGGGCACUGCAGUUUCCAGAACCAGAUCAGUUCAGGUCUUCCUUCCAGGAAGGUCACAGUGGAAAACACCAGUGCUGCCAUGUGGCCUGUUUAUGGUGAAUUUAAUCAUAUAUUUUGACGCAUACACCAUAAAACGUUCCAUUCAAUCCAUGCUCCAUCAAUGGUAAAGGUAAAUGUUUUCUUUUUUCCAAAACUUAAUAUUGCCAUGAAAUGUUUUCUUCUAUAACAUCUGAACUGCUGUCAAUAUACGAUCUGAUUUUGUGUGACCUUUAGAUGUUUAACGAUCAGUCGAAUAAUGACUAAUAAUUAGAUGAAUCCAUGGUGAUACAGCAAAUACUGAUAAAAUGAAUUAAGCACAAUAACGAUUAUGAACUGACCACUUCACCCUGUUUAAUGAGGCAUGUACAACUUCUGCCUUCAGGGUGUGUUUGCUCAGAUUGAACUGUUUAGGAAGUACUUUGUUUUAUUGUGUUUGAGUUAGUUAGCGUGUUUAAACAAUGUUUUGCUGUUGCUCCACCACACAAGUCUGAUCUAGUUCUACAAAAACUGCACCGCAUAGACUACAGUAUGACUUUUUUUUGUUAUUUUUACAUGACCUUUAGUUAUUGCUGUACUAUUUUUAAUUCAUCUUUAUUAUAUUUCAUGUUUAUGUUAUAUGCAAAGUAUUUAUUUAAUGGGUUUUACGCAUUGCUCUUGUCCAUACAAAGAUAUAUUCUACGUCUAGAAAACAUUUUAGAUUGUUAAAAAUGCACUUUUGGUGUAAACGGACCUCUAAACCGUUUGGUAGAGAUGCACAGUGGAGGAAUGUAACUAAAUACAUUUACUCAAGUGCUGUAUUUAAGUACAACUUUGAGCUACUUGUCUUAAGUAUUUUCAUUUCCUACCUCUUUAUACUCCACUAAUGUACUCUUAAAGUACUCCUUGAGGCUGUGUGACCCAGAACGACUGAAAAUGAAGAAUCUCUUCUAAUCUUUUAUAAAUGAAUUCAGCAUUCGAUAAUAAAACAUGUUUUUUUUCUGCA